UUUUACUGUGCCUAUCCAAUAAGCUUUGUGGUUGUGAAUUACCUAUUGCCUGACCAGUUUAAAAAAUUGUCAAUACAAUUUGUCCAUUUAAAUUGUACAACAGGUAUUGUGAGAGCUAUUAUCAACAGGUGGUCAUUUAACUACCUGUAGAUUUACCUGAUUUGUUUUUGACAGAGCUAAUUUAAAUGAAUGAUACAUGUAGCUUGCUUGC
rnacentral:lncRNA from 1 species